rnacentral:rRNA from 1 species
GGGGUCUAAUACCGGAUACUGACCCGCCUGGGCAUCCAGGCGGUUCGAAAGCUCCGGCGGUGCAGGAUGAGCCCGCGGCCUAUCAGCUUGUUGGUGAGGUAAUGGCUCACCAAGGCGACGACGGGUAGCCGGCCUGAGAGGGCGACCGGCCACACUGGGACUGAGACACGGCCCAGACUCCUACGGGAGGCAGCAGUGGGGAAUAUUGCACAAUGGGCGAAAGCCUGAUGCAGCGAC